rnacentral:lncRNA from 9 species
AUGGGCUUUUGUUUAAUUUUUGGGACCUGCACAUUGGCUACUACUUCAGCUGGGCAAGGAUGGACUCCAGGCUCAAGGUGUCAACCUCUAGAUUGGAUUCACUUAUUUUUCCACAUCUCCACAUUCUCCUUGGACCAGUUGCUACACAGGAUAGGCUGUUCUCCUGGCAAUCAGAGGAAUGCAAGAGGCCAAACUUACCCAUGCAAGUAAGUUUAUAAACUUAUUUAUGUCACAGCUGUUAACACGUUCUUGGCUAAAGCAAGUCACCUGUCCCCUGAGUAUGAGGUGAGGAAAUAGACUUAUUUUACCAUAAAGCCAGGGCAAAUAUGGGGAUAUAUAAGGAAUAAAAUGAAGUAUCAUGAGCAGUGCCCUACCUUACCCUCAAAAUGGAAGGGAUUUUCUCUGGUUGAAACUGGAAGAUUGCAAUAGGAGUAGGGAAUGCUUCUCUUUUGCUCACUCAAGAAAAAAUAUCUAGUUGCUCACCUGACUAGCCUCAUUAUAUCUAUUCAGGUCAGUGGGGAUGGACUGCUUUCAUAGAUGUUCACACAAUUUAGCUAGGUGAAAAAAAGAACAUUUCUUCUCUGGUCUCUCAAAAGCCUCAAGCUGUGCUGCACAAUAUGGUAGACCCUAGUCAUUUGUACCUAUAUGAAUUUAAAGUAGUUACACUAGUCCCAUUUAAAGAAUCCAGUAGUCACAUGUGGCCUCCACAUUGAACAAUGCAGCUCUAUCAUAAUACCCCCUUUAUUGCCUUCAUGAACAAAUCACAUUCUAAAAUUAUCUUAUGUAUUUAUCCACUUCUUUACUUUCUCCCUCCCUCUGUGGUAGACUGAAUAAUGACCCCCAGGUAUGUGUGCAUCCUAAUUCUCAGAACUUGUAAAUGUUACUUUGUAUGAAAAAAGGAGACUUUUCAGAUGGGAUUAAUCUAAUGAUCUUGAGUUGGACAGAUUAUCUAGGUGGUCCCAGUGUAAUCACAGGGGUUCCUGUAUAAGGGAGGCAGCAAGGUCAGAAUCAGACAGAAGGUGAUGUUGUGAUAGAAGGAGAGGGAAUGAUAGAGAUUUGAAGAUGCUACAUUCUUGGCUUAGAAGAUAGAGGAGAGGGGACAUGACCCAUAGCAUGAAGGCAACCUCUAGAAGCUACAAAGGGCAAGGAAAUAGAUGCUUCCCUGGAGCCUUCCAGAAGGAAUAGAGCCCUAUAGAAUGUAUUUUAGACUUCUAACUUGUAUAACUGAAAGAUAAGCUUGUGUUGUUUUAAGCCAGUGAGUUUGUGGUAAUUUGUUACAUCAGCAAUAGGGAACUAAUAUACUCUCCAUUAGUGUAUAAGAUCGAUGUGGGAGGAACCAUGUCUGUCUCAUCCACUACUUCAUCUACAGAACCAAGCAUAGUGCCUCUCAGAGAUCAGGCAUUCUUAAUCAUUUGAGAAAUAAUGACUUUAUGGAUAAAAGGCUAACAUAAGCUCCAAAAGAUCCUUUUAAUACAGUGUACCUUCCACAAUCAUGUGCCCCAUAUCCACAAUCUCCACCACUGGAGGUCAUCAUUUUUUGCAUCUUAUUUCCAGAAAAUCACUACUGGGAGACAUUAAAGUAGGAGAGCAUAUUGAAUG